UUUUUGGGCUGAACUGGGUUACUCUGAGAACUGAGACCAAGGGAUACUUCGUGCCCAACUGGUGAGAUGUCAAAUGGUCCAGGUUGGCUGUGCCGCGGCAGACGGGCUGUUGUUGACACCUGUUCUAAUCAGAGUAUGUGCUUGCCAUUUUGUACGAGGCGUCCCAGCUGCCAUGGAUCUGAGGCCUCCUUCCAGUGAAUAUCACUCAUGGGGAUGGAGAAAAAAGGAGCACUUGAGUUUGCUUCUCUAGAUGCUGCACUUCACGAUUCCCAGGACAGGAUGAACCGGAGUCAAUGCCUGGAGCUCUCUCUCACAUGACUUGGAAGGAUGGUGGAAGAUACAUCACAUAGGGAUGGGGACUGUGAACCUCCGUUACUUCUCCUGCUUAAGUCACAAGAAAAGGAUCCCAAUCAGUUGAACAGCGAAAGCAACGAUAAGCAUCUGCCUUCUCUGUUUAUUGGCAAACACCAGUCCCUAGAGACCUCUCCUUCUUCGAAGUUAAGGAAAACAGAAACAAAACAACACGGAGUCUCAGAAAAAUCUGCGAUGUGAAAAAUAAGAAAAAUGACACUCUGGAUGCUGAUAAAAAUAAAAUUUUCAAAAGAAAAGUAGUCAGUGUUGACUGUUUACCCAACAGCCAUCUCUCACCUUCCUCCUUUCUGGCAGAACCCCCAAACGAGUCUGCGUGCCCACACAUUCCCCAUGUGACUCAGAGGAGGAUGACCCUAUUCCAAGACGUAGGGGAAAAUCCUGAUUUUUUUAAGCCAAUCAGAUGUUCCUAUCAUCUCUGCCAAUUUUCAAAAAUUUUCAAUGAGCUAGGAGGGAAGGUCUACUAGGGGAGUUCUAUUUUCUUCUAGGAAAGAUUUCCUUACUUCUAAGAAGGAUAUUCCAGGGGCUUCUGUCUCCUACUGGACAUUACCAUGUGUGGGUUUGAUGCUUGGAACUGCUAAAGCAAUCUCGCACCCAAGAAAGGAUCCAGGCUAAGGGCAAUGCCAACAUGAGAUGGCAAAGUGGAGAGCUUGAAAGGAUGGGGGGCUUUAAUGACAUUCUUGGGCAUCUCAUUCAACCAAUCAAUGGAACCUCCUCUAACUCCUGACUUCCUGUUCUGUAAGAUAACAUAUUAACUUAUUGUUUAAGCCCAUUUGAUUUUUUUCUAUAACCUACACAGUGGAAAACAGAAAUGCAUUUUAGAUGGCAUGAAAUUCAAGAAAACAUGGAAGAAUAAAGAAAGUGAAAGAUUAAACAAUAAAAGGACAGCUUUUCCAAAAUAUGGAUCAAGUGAAGAAGCAACUAGAGGAAAAUUUGCUGAGUGAGGCAAGGAACGAUGGUAAGGAAACCAAAAUGGAAGAGCAGAAUUUGAAUGGACAUUGGAAUCUGUAAUGAGAAUAAGCAACAGGCAGAAACUUGUGGAGAAUUAAUUUGAGAAGCUUGUAGUGAACAUAUAAGGGAAUGAGAACAAUGAAACUUCUUUUUCCUUGGAAUCUAUCAUCUGCUCAUGUGUGUUCACGUGUGAAGGCACCAAAAUGACAUUUUCAGAGAAAAAACAGACAUAUAAAAGAUAAUUGCUGUUACUAAAGAAGAGAACAGAAUAAACAAAAUAGAUGCAAUAA